GACGUAGGGCGCGAGCGUUGUCCGGAUUUAUUGGGCGUAAAGAGCUCGUAGGCGGCUUGUCGCGUCGAAUGUGAAAACUCGGGGCUCAACUCCGAGCUUGCAUUCGAUACGGGCAGGCUAGAGUUCGGUAGGGGAGACUGGAAUUCCUGGUGUAGCGGUGAAAUGCGCAGAUAUCAGGAGGAACACCGGUGGCGAAGGCGGGACUCUGGGCCGUUACUGACGCUGAGGAGCGAAAGCGUGGGGAGCGAACAGG
rnacentral:rRNA from 1 species